rnacentral:lncRNA from 1 species
UACAGUAUGCAUGGUGUAAAUAAAAAUUUAUUCAUGCAAAAAUAGUAGAAGAACAAUUAAUGUAUAUUAUCAUAUAUAAUUGAAUCUCAAAUCUGUUUAGAAACAUAAAGUACUAUUUUUAUCAAACAAUGGAUCAGAACUUGAGUGCUUAUCUGAUAACAUCUCACUAGAGGUAUAUAAUCCCUUCAUAAUCCCUUCUAUUUCAAAAACAUGAUGGUGCCAACAAAGUUUCAGGGAUCUGCAAAAUCUGAUUACUAAUGCAAAUUUUAAUUUCAGGAAUCUGCCAUAUUAUUUUUCAAAUAUAGCACCAAUAGAGUACCAUUCGAUUUUCAUCCUAAUGUAUAAACUCAAAAGUUAUGCAAUUACAGUACAUAUGUGAUACAAUUACAGGAAAAAAACACUAUAAUUUUGAUAGAAGCAUCAUAUAAGUCAACUUUAACAAUUACAAUACGUUAUUUGCAGGAAAGAAAGAAACAAGGAGGGAAAAAUCAAUAGUUGUAUGAAGACACAUGCAUCAAAUGCAUAAGAACUUGAAUACCAUAGACAACAAAUGCAUGAAUCAAAAUGACAAUUUCAGUUUAUUCCACAUAUUAAAGUUAAAACUAGAGAGCUCUAAUACACUUACUUUCACAUAUCACAGAAAGAUACAAUGCUAUGGGAAAACAAACGUUAACUAUAGGUUAGUAUUUCUCACCAGAUAACCCACAAAACACUGAUGUGUUUACUAAAAAUGUUAAUUAUCAUCAUUUGGGAAAAUAAUUAAAAUGUGCAAGGUUGCUCACUUCAAAACAAAAUUACUGGUCAUUCUUCUACCACGCUGUUUGCCAAAAACAUUGUAAUUCAUAUUUGUGUUUCCAAGAUUAGCUCAUCAAAUCUAUAGUUUUAGUUGAUUGUUCAUUUUUCAUUAUUAAGAAUUUUGUUUGGAUUAUCAUACAUCAAAAUUUCAAAAUACAGGUCGAUUGGAGGAAAUAAACAUUUCAAAGAAUACAGAGUUGCUUCGAAUGGAUAGCAUCUAUUCAAACAAAAAAGGUGAUCACAAUACUUCUACUGUUUAUUAUGUGGGGAAUAAAGUUUACUUAUUUACAUAAUUUACAGUAGUAUUUUGAUAGAAUAACAUAUUUACUACACUGUAAAUUUAAUAUAGACCUGUUGUAAUUGAUACUAUUUUAGAUUAGAACAAGUGUUUUAGCAUUAUACUAGUACUUAUUAGUUUAGAGACUUACCAGAAUUUUGAUCCAAUUUUGGUUGAUCAACUUGCAAAAUAUAAUUAGUCGCAAUAGAAAAAGAAUCAUGAACUAGUUUAAAAUCAAAUACUUAUAGUACUAGAUAUAAAUUGGAUCAUAUAGUUAUAGCACGAUUAAUUUUAGAACUAUUUUAAUUAUUUACAUGCUUUCUUAUUUAAGAAUACAUGUUUACAAGUCAAAUAGUCACAUUCAAACUAGUAUGCAGUUCUUAAAUUUUCCACUAUCUAAAAAAGAAAUAGCAGUAGCAAUUGAAUAAAUUCAAUUCCAAUAUCAAACCAACUGACUCAACUCAUUAUUUACAGGACUCAUAGGAACAAGGAGAAAGAAAGAAAGAAUUGUAUGAAAAUACAAGAAACAAAUUCAGGUAAAUAUUUUAAACUUAAUGUCAGAAUUGUGCUGAACUCAUAUAGAUUAAGAAUUAGUUGUGCAUUUAUUUCCAGGAAUUUUAACUAUAUUAUAGAAUCUUUCCAUUGCAUUGAUAACAGGAAUCAAGGAGAAAGAUGAUCUGGACAGAUCAGGGGACACAAGCAACCAAAUGCAGACAAGCAAUCAAAAUUUCAAUUAGGUGCAUGCUGGAUGCAUUGUAAAAAUAAAACUAGAACUAGCACUCCAAGAAUGUAAAUCAAUCAGUUGUGCAUAUAUGUAUGCUUUCUAUUUUUUUAGACUAGCCCAUUUCUCCAUGUGUCCUUUUCCUCUCAAUCCUGGACAAUCAGCUCAAGAAAAAAAUGCUCAUAGGAAGCAAAGAAGCUCUUGUCCAGAACCAUACAUAAUCAUAUCCCACUAAUUGGUCUUACAUAUAAAUCAAACUAGAAGAAAAUCAUGUUUAGCUACUACUUCUAAUUUGACAUGAGGGACUAAUCAUUUUUAUACAAUUUAUUGUUGCAGCAAAAGUGCAUCACUAUAUAUUUAUAGCAGACUUGGUCAUGAAAAUGUCAGACAAUCUGCAUGAUAAUACUAAAAUGUUGGAAACUCAUUGAUGCAUUUCAAAAUUUUCAAUAACUUGUGCUCUUUACAGAUCUAAUAAAAUUAGUCUAAGGUGGUCACCGAAGAGUAAAAAUACCAAACUAGAUUCCACAUAGCAUAUAUAGCAUCUGCAGACUUUUAGCAUAAGAAGGCCAUGGAUGCUUCAAGAGAUUCAGUCACUGUCAUCAAAAUAACAUGUGUUAAUUCUGAUUCAGAGAAGGUCAAUAGCAUGCUAGCAAGGCUGAACAAUGCAUCGCAAAGGCUUCUCCUCAUCUUCUACUCUAUGUAUCAUGAGGAACUUGUACCACACAGAUCCAAAUCGGAACAUCGCAUAGCACAAAUCCCCGCAGGAAACAACUAAAAUACCCUAAACAAAUGGGAAAAACUCACAGAAGGGGCUCACCGUGACAACUCACACCACACAACUCGAAAUUGAAACAUUGCAUAGCACAAAUCCCCACAAAAAAACUAAAAUACCCUAAAUAAAAGGGAAAAACUCACACAAGGAGAUCACCAUGUCAGAUUUGAAUAAGAAACAAGGGGAUUUACCGAGUUACAUUCGAAAAUCGAACACAUCACAUAUCCAAAUCGAAACAACUAAAACCUUGCAGCACACAAGGAAACAACGACAAGCUCGGAUCGAGGACGACGAGGACACAAAACACACUACACAACGACUAUGAGACUCACCGGAGAAAGGAAGAACGAUAUUGCCAACGAAUCGUCGAUGACUCCCACAAAUCAGCGUCAAAAACCCACCACUACAAAAUACAAAUAGUCGACGCGUCGAUGAACAAAGCAGUAAACAAACGGGAACUAAAUUCACUGGAGAAGAGGAGAAGGAGAUCACCGGCGAAUCGAUGUUGUGUCGCCUUCCACAAUCGCCGCAUCGCGUGGGACGAUGAGAGCAAGAAAUUUUCUCGCCCUGUAUGCUCUCACUCUCUCUCUCUCACAGACACAGUCACUCAGUCUCUCUCUGUCAACAGUGCAAGUGGGUCCCAUGGUAGACCAAAAGUCCAAGCU